rnacentral:rRNA from 1 species
AAUAUUGCACAAUGGAGGAAACUCUGAUGCAGCGACGCCGCGUGAACGAUGAAGGCCUUCGGGUCGUAAAGUUCUGUCCUUGGGGACGAUAAUGACGGUACCCAAGGAGGAAGCCCCGGCUAACUACGUGCCAGCAGCCGCGGUAAUACGUAGGGGGCGAGCGUUGUCCGGAAUUAUUGGGCGUAAAGGGUUCGUAGGCGGUCUUUUAAGUCAGAUGUGAAAGGUCACGGCUCAACCGUGGUAAGCAUUUGAAACUGAAAGACUUGAGUUAAGGAGAGGAAAGUGGAAUUCCUAGUGUAGCGGUGAAAUGCGUAGAUAUUAGGAGGAAUACCAGUGGCGAAGGCGACACGCUGGGCCUGGCCUGACGCUGAGAGGCGAAAGCAUGGGGAGCGAACGGG